rnacentral:rRNA from 1 species
AUGAGUUCGAUUGGAAGGGGUGCUGGUUGUGCAAAUGGAGUUGAUGCUGCUAUUGUAGCUUUGGCCAAGGUGUUGCUAAUUAAUUGUGAAGGCAGUGAUGGGGAUGCAGGUAUUUCAUCGUCAGAUGUUAACAAUUUGAUCAUGCAUUCUUGCCGUGACAUCAAUGUCGAGCAUGUUGCCCCCAAUUACCCACUGCCGUGCAACAUGGGUGUGCCUCCCAAUGUUGAACCAUGUAGAGCUUCCGUUGAUGCUCAUGAGAGGAAGAAGCGGUUGAGGCUCCCCAAAGGUGUAGUUGAUUCCUCAAAUGUCACCAGCAAUUCUCAUGUUCCAGAUGCAUGUGCUAGAGUCCGUGUGCAAGUUGGCACAUCACUGGAUGUCUCUGCUAGUCUGAAUGUAACUGCAAACGUGGGUCCGGUGAGUGAAGGUGGCCCUGCAGUAUCUUCUAGCCAAGGGAAGCGCAGGGUAGUUGUUGCAAAGAUUAAGAAUGGACUUCGUGGCACCCAUCCUACCAGUGGUGUAGCCAGUAAAAUUGUUGAUCCAUCUCCGCGUCGAAGUCCACGCAUUGCGAGUGGUCCAGUGGUUGAUCGUGUCUAUCCGAGUGUUAAGCUUGAUGGAAAGCAUGUUUCUUUCGAGGGUUCAGAGGAUGGAGGUGGUUGUAGAGGACCUUCUGUUGAUGGCACUGGGCUCGACGGGAAUAAUGUUGUUCCUAGGAGGCGUCGGCCCAAGGUUGUUGGGAGUGGACCAAAGAAGAAGGUGGCAAAGUCCACGACGUCAAAUGCUGGUGCUUGUGAUAGGAUCAAUGUAACUGUUCGCUAUUCUUUGGGAGAGGUUUCUGAGGUAGUUGCUCUGCUUGAGACACGACAUAAAGAUAUUGUUCGUAAGGCUGGUUUUGGUUGUGUAUUUGACUGGGUUCUGAAGGGCAAUGUGUCGCGCCUUCUGAUGUGUCACUUGAUGAAGAAUAUUGACAUGGCCACGAUGCGCAUUGACUGUGGCCCUAAUAAAGUUCUUGUAGUCAGCAGAGAAAUCGUGCAUCAGUGUUUUUGGUUCCCGAUGGGUGAUGACACAGCUCCCAGGCCAGCUGAUAGUGGCCACGACGAGUUAAUGGCUAGAUUUAAGGCGGAGUUGGGUUUCAGUAAAGCUUCUGUGGUCGACAUGAAAGACCUAAGGACUGUGUUGAAGCAGCUUGUAGUCGAUGAGUCAAAGGACGUGCUUGCUGUAAAGAAUGAAGAUGUAGCCUUUAAAGUACAAAAAUCUAGUAACGCCAUGGAAGAUGAUGGUGUAUUUGAGAAGAUUGAUGAGUUUUUACAGAAGGUGAAUGAGUUGGCUGCUGAAGUUCCCACGACGUCUGAUCGUCUGAGCUGCAUUGCUGGCAUUUUUCCUGAAGACCAUGGACCAAGAGAAGAAUCAAUGAUGGAGGCUACAGAGCGUGAUGUUGCUAUCAUUGGUAGUCUUCGGAGUGCGACAUCACACAUUCGCACUGCUUUUAACCAUUUGAAGAAGAAACAAGAUGUGAUAUGCAAAGGCUUUGAAAAUGAUGCUCGUAUUAUUGUGAGUCAGAUUAGCAAGCAGAAGAAUGACGCGUCUGCCCCCGUGCGUGAUGAUGAUUAUACUAGUCAACGGGGUGAGGAGAUUAGCAAGCAGAAGAAUGACGCGUCUGCCCCCGUGCGUGAUGAUGAUUAUACUGGUCAACGGGGUGAGGAGGUUGUUGUUGAUGCGUCAGAUGACGAUGAAGAUGAUAAGCAAGAGCCCUCUGCUGAAUCUCCUCUGCAUGACUUUAGUGAUGACUACGUCAUUGAUGAUGAUUGUUUUGGUGGUGAUCCUGAUGGGGGUUGCAAUGGUGUUGAUGACAAUGUUGAUUAUACCGAGGGAGUUUUUGCACCAGACCAGCCUGUAGCCGAAGGUGAUUGCCACAAAUCUAAUGAGCUAGAGCUUGGGCAGCAAUUCCAUGCUUGUAGUGUUGACAUUUCUGAAGGGAAGCAAGUUGGGUUUGAUUGUCAAGGUGGCGCGUCAGUUUGCUUGAUGCUAGACAGGUGCCUAAAGGUGCUUGUGCGGGUGUAUUUGUCAUGGAUCCUUGGUGAUGAUGUCAAUCAUGCAGCAAGUUUUGAAGGAAAACAAGUGCCGAAGGAUACAACUAUGCCUGAAAGCAUUGGAGCCGGAGGUGAUGUAUUUUCUAUUCCGGUGUGCGAAGUCCCUGUUGUUGACGGAGCACGUGCAUCGAACAAGGACGCGAAGCCAGCUGUUGUUUCUGAACUUCUGAAUGAUGCUGCAGUUGUGGACUCCCACCGAGGUGGUGAUGCUCAUGCUAGUGUUGCAGGCCCCGAGGACGCAAGUGGUUUGAAUGCGUCUCAUGUGAUAGAUAAAUCAAUUUUUGAUGGUGGUGCAUCUGCUCCUGCAACACUUUCUGGGAAUCAUGUACAAGUACCCGAGGGGUUAGCCGCGAAGUUGAAAGAUAUAAUUUCAAAAUCUGCGUUGCGCGGUAAUUAUAGUAAUGAGCCCCAGCCUGAAGUUGAACCCAACGUUGACGAAGUUAGUGUUGAUGGCGCUUCCGAGGAGACAGAUAGUGAUGACUUGGGAUUGUCAGUAAAUGAAAUAGAAUCAUCUCAAACAGUCUCCAGUUUUACGCAAACCCCUGCUACACCGGAAGCGGUGCAACGCAUGAAGGACUUAUACUUUGCUGUUAUGAGGUUAAGGAAGGACAAGAAUAAAAAGGAUGAGGUGCUGUUUGAGAAUGCGUUUUGCAAAGCAACUGUCAAGCAGGUUGCUGAGUCUUUCAGAGUUGGUGGCAUGCUGAACACUACAGUUGCUGCUCAAUCUAUCUGGAAGGGGUCCUUUGAUAAUAGGCACUUGAUCAGAUUUUUCUCUGCCUAUGCCGAUGAGCCGCUGGAUAAGAAAGACAUUGUACUCCUUGGUGUCUUUGACCCUCCAGCUACCAGGGAAGAUCUAGGGCUAGAUGAGCCUAAAUUUAGUUUAUUCGAGAGCCAAUAUGAGACGCCAGAAAUUCAGGUAAUAUCGGAUGAUGAAAUAUUGAAGUCAGUCCAAGCUGUUGAAGUAAAGAAGGGCGGUGUGGAGUCAAAAUCAAAGGGGGUGGCUUGUGCUGUCCCGAAGGCUGUGGAUCGUGGUGUGGAGAGUGAUGAUGAUUCUUUUAUGCCGCCGGCACCUAAAAAGUGUUUGCGGCCCAUAGCUGCUAGUCCUAUCAAAGUGGUAGUGAAAUCGCCUCUUGUUCUGAGUGAUGAUGAUGAUUUUGUUUUGCAUGGUGAGAGAACAAUGUUCACCAGGAGCAAAUCAAUGGAGGAGCCAUUGUAUCUUCUGGAGAUUGAUCCGUACCAUCGGCCAGUUGAUGAAGAUGGGCAGGAGCUCCCGAGGCCGCCGUUCAAUGUUAAACUUGCUGCUCAAAAGUUCAAGUUAUACAUUAAAGAGAACCUACUUGCUGCAAACCUGAUCAUGCUCCCAUAUUGGAAUCGGAAUCAUUUCACACUGUAUACUAUGAACAAGCAUCGUGAGUCCCUGGAUAUCCAUGACUCAUGGAGAUACACUGGGCGUAACCUUUCAAGGAACAGAUUCCAUGGAGAACGUGUUGAAAUCAUGUCCAGGAUGUCUUUGUUGAUGAAGGAGGUGUAUGGCGAAGCUACAUACAACUCUUCAAGGCAGCCCCGUUGGGAACAUCUAGUAGAUAGAUGUAGCUAUGCAAAAAUGCCAGAGCAAGGGGUUAACGAAUGCGGCUUUUACAUGUUAAAAGCUGCUUAUCUGUAUGAUGGCACCAAGAUAGUAGAGGAAGUGAAGAAGCGUGAUCCACAUUCUGCCUACUGGAAGGCCGAGUGCCUUUUUAUGUUCUUUUUCACCCUAGUAAUGAGGUUCGGCGCGACCAGUGGUUGCGGGAGAUGGCUGACAUUGCUAAGUUGUUAG